UGCCAGCAGCCGCGGUAAUACGAAGGUCCCGAGCGUUAUUCGGAAUCACUGGGCGUAAAGAGUACGUAGGCGGUUUGGUAAGUCAGGUGUGAAAUCCCGGAGCUCAACUCCGGAACUGCACCCGAUACUGCUAGACUGGAGUAAUGGAGGGGCAGGUGGAAUUCUCGGUGUAGCAGUGAAAUGCGUGGAUAUCGAGAGGAAGACCAAUGGCGAAGGCAGCCUGCUGGACAUUUACUGACGCUGAGGUACGAAGGCUAGGGUAGCGAAAGGGAUUAGAUA
rnacentral:rRNA from 1 species